UUCAUGAACUUCGCUUGAUUCAACUGAAAUUGCACUUAUCACUAACAUAUGUGCAUUACGCAGCGUUACCGUGUAACGUGACUUUGUCGCGUUGCUCUUUUCCAACGGAUGCUGGUGAAAAUGUAGGUCUCCGCUCUCCGGAUUUUUAUGGAUGGAUCGUAAAAGAUACAUAACGUUGUAACUGUAUACAGGCUUUUUAAGAAAUGACGCUCGCGACUCGAGCGAGUUGCAUAAAAUUAAUACUUAUUUCUUA
rnacentral:lncRNA from 1 species